rnacentral:rRNA from 1 species
AGUGGGGAAUUUUGGACAAUGGGCGAAAGCCUGAUCCAGCCAUGUCGCGUGCAGGAUGAAGGCCUUCGGGUUGUAAACUGCUUUUGUACGGAACGAAAAGACUCUGGUUAAUACCUGGGGUCCAUGACGGUACCGUAAGAAUAAGCACCGGCUAACUACGUGCCAGCAGCCGCGGUAAUACGUAGGGUGCAAGCGUUAAUCGGAAUUACUGGGCGUAAAGCGUGCGCAGGCGGUUAUAUAAGACAGAUGUGAAAUCCCCGGGCUCAACCUGGGAACUGCAUUUGUGACUGUAUAGCUAGAGUACGGCAGAGGGGGAUGGAAUUCCGCGUGUAGCAGUGAAAUGCGUAGAUAUGCGGAGGAACACCGAUGGCGAAGGCAAUCCCCUGGGCCUGUACUGACGCUCAUGCACGAAAGCGUGGGGAGCAAA